CAUUUCCUGGGGCUGCAGACUGUUUGAGAAUAGUCUAACCAUGUCUGCCCCCUUCACAGAUUCACCAGGUAUAUGAUGCUCUUUCUGGCUGAGUUCUAUGUGCAGAGCUGAUGCAUGAGGACAGCUUAUUCUUCCUACCUUGCCUCAGAAACACUUGUCUGCAUAGGUAAUGCAGCUCUCGCUUUAGGUGGGAGGGAGGGCCUGGGUCAGCAUACCUGUGUCUGAGCUCAACAUACACUACAUUCAUCCCAACAACUCAGCAUUACCCUCUGCCAACACUGUUUGGGGUCAUUUUUCUGAUUUGGAUUAGCCUGUUUACACAAAAAUUGAAAAUAUUAUCCUAAUUGAGCCAUUCUCUUCUCUCUUUCCUUCUCUUCCUUGAGUUUUCUAGUAGUGACUUUAUCACAGGAACUCUUAAUUUUUCUAAACCCUUUCUUCAAGGGUGCAGGGAAUUUAAAACAUACUUUACUUCAUCUGUGUGUAUUUUUAAAACCCUAUACUAUAAUGUAAGUAAUAGAAGUUAAAGAUAAUUGCAAACUAUUCUUGAUUUUACUUGUGUUUUAUUAACAAAUCUGCCUUAAUCCAGGAUUAAAAUUGAGUGAGAUUGGAGGAUUUUUCUCAUCUGCAGCUUGGAGCAAGAGAUUCUGUGUAAUAAACGUGCCUCUUUGCUUGACAUAAAGCCAUCCUAUUAUAUUUCUGGCAGUGCUGAGUGAGACCAACUCUCACCUGCCCUGCAAUGCACAUGUACAUUGAUAGGCAAGGGGUGCCCAGCACAGUUAAAGGCUUGAGCCUCCCUGUUCCCCUCAAGGUGUCAGGAUGAAGGCCUCUUCCUCUUUGCUUCUGUGCUUUAAGUUUCCUUUCCAUAACAUAGGACCUUUCUUCUGACUCUAGCAUUUCAUUUCAACAUUAUAUCACAGGGCAUGUUAUUUCAGGAAAACAGGCAGUAACUGGAGUAUAAAACACCUUCUUCCCAGUGCUGCUGGUUUGUUCCACUGAUUAGAGCAUCAUUGACAAGGUGAAGGUCAUAGGGCCUCCAUUUUUAUUGGGACCAGUCCACAGUUUCCUUCUGCUCUGUGGUCUGUGGCUAUACCUGUAGUCCAGAUCAGCUGAUGCUGUGAAAAUGUCACCAUCCAAAGGAUGACAGAAACUCAGAGGGUCUCUCCUGUGGGCAGUGGACAGCAGGGUCAUAUCCAUCCAUAAAAUAUGUUACUUUAUGAAUAGAAAGUCACCAUUAGAGGGAAAACACCAUGUCAAUCAGCAGUGACUAAAGACAAAGCAGCCCUAGGUCAUCCCACAAGCCAGUGACUAUGCACCUAGUCACUUUCCUGGCCUCAACCUCAAUCUGAAUGUUCCUGGAAAGACACAUCCUCAUGUUUAUUUCAAGCACACACUAAACUUCCCCUGUCACUUUUGAUUCUAUGCUUCCUGUGGUAAUGUCAAUAAUUAUUGGUGAAUGAAUGAUGUGUAUGCAUUACGUGUGCAUAGGUGUAUGCAAAGUUUAUGUUUCUGUGUACCUGAACUCAUUCUUUAACUCCUACUUUCACCCCAAAACCUAUUCACCCAGGCCUAAGUCUUAUGUACAGGAAUGAGUAUACCAACCAGUAGUUUACCCACGUAGGCAUACCAGCUGUUACUUUCUCCACUCCUUUCUGUCCUCAGUCUUCUGUAUAUAAUUCAUCUCAAAAUGCUGUCAAAUUUACCAUCAAAAUGUCUUUCAACUGCCCCUUCCCUUCCAUUCUUCCUCCCACUGUUCCAGUUCAGACCACAGCCAUCUCUCUCCUAGUUAGCUCCAAUGGCUUCCAGUUGGACUCUCUGCUUCUGAAAUGCUUGCCUACCACCUCUUAUCCAUUCUCACUAUUGCACCCUCAUUGAUCCACUCAACACAAACCUGACCUUUCUACUCCAUUGCUCAAAAGUCUUGCCUGGCUUCCACUCCCCUGAUAAGAGAUUCUAAGCUCCUCAGCAUAAAACAUAAAAACCAUCAAGAUCUGACCCUGGCUUCCACCCUGGCCUCAGCUCCUGCCUCCCAUUAGAAAGCAUUCCACUUUCAGCCACAUCAUUUACUCGCCAUUCUUGGAACAUACUGAGAUCUCUCAAGCCUCCAGAAACUUAUAUGUGUUAGGUUCCCUGCUAGAAUCCCUUUUCCCAUCUUAUCCACACAGGAGCUUUCUAAUUCUCCUUGCAGACCUGUCUCCAAGUGCCGACUUUGCAUCCCACUCAGGAAAAGCCAGCCAAAUCUACCUCUGGGAGGUGGAGGCAUUGGUCAUAGCACUUGCCUGCCUGUAGCACUUGCUCAACUGAAGGACCAGAACUCAUUCACCUUUGUAUUUCUAAGGACCACGAGCACACAGGGAGGUCCCAUUCAUUGAGGCUGCCAUGAGGUGUUGAGUAUCUACCAUGUGCUAGCAGUAGCAAGUAAAAACAAAAUUGGUUACCGUUACGGUGCUAAGUCAUGAAUAAAUUCUUAUUCUUAUAUCUGUGUGUUGUCUAUAUAGUGAGCAAGAGUUCAACUAUAAAUAAAAGAGAAGUAUCUAUAAGCAAGAAUUCUUAUUCUUAUAUCUGUGUGUUGUCUAUAUAGUGAGCAAGAGUUCAACUAUAAAUAAAAGAGAAGUAUCAAUAAACAAGAAAAAAAAAGUUUCCAUUCCCCAACCACCAGAUUUUCUACUUGUAAUUUAGUGGAUGAAAUACUUACUAAAGAGAAUUUUUUUUCACUUUAGUGAGGUGACUCAGCAUAUAGAAUAGUAACAAUAAUGAUGAUAAUAACAAGUAACAUUUUGGAGUGCUUGCUAUGUUCUAAGUCCCAUUCUGAGAACUUUACAUGUAUUAGCCCAUAUUUUUUUCACAGAACAAUCUUAGAAAACAAGUAUUAUUAUUAUUAUCCUCACUUUAGAAAAAAAGAAACUGAGACAUUUAAACGUUAAGGAAUUUGAUUACAGUCCUACAGUUAGUAAAUAUUGGAGCUGGUGUGUACCCAAGCAAUGUCUUAGUUUUCUUACUGCAGAUAGAUGUCCUUUAACACAUUCAAUAUUGAGAAGAUAGGGACUGUGAUGUAUCAAGUCCAUGUAACAAGGAGCUACCUGAAUUUUAAAAUAAUGUGAAGAAAAGUGGUAAGUAUAUAUAAAACUCUAGGGAUGGAAAACAAAUCAGUGGUUGCUUGGUGGAGAGGGAAAGGCUGAUUAUAAAGGGCCACAGAAGGGCGUGUCAGCUCUGUAGGGUUGUGGGGUGGUGGAGGCAUUUGUCAAAACUCACAGAACUGUACACAGUACAGUAUGAAUGUUACUGUAUGCUAAUUUGAAAAACACUAAAGCAGAAAGUGAAGGGAUCCCAGGGUGGAAUGCAGACUAAGACAAAUGAAUCUAACUGUAUUAUCAAUGUAUGACAUAACUUCACUGAAAAGAGGAGAGAAAAAUGGAGCUGGCCUAAGUAGCUUUGGAAAGUCGUGUGUGAGCGGGACACUAAGGUCAGAGACAAAGGAAUUAUGUGCAAACACUACUAUUCUAGUUGAUAAAUGUAUUUCUCAGUGGCAUAUGGGUUGGUAAUCCUGAAACUUAGUGUAUGCUGGAUUGAACAAAAUAAAUACAUUGUAGAUAAUAGGAGCCAGUUUUCUCACUAUCAUAGAAGGGAAUUACAAAUAAGUAGGGUGGAAGACUACAAUGUAUCCUGUGGAUAGGAGUCAGAGAUGGACUCUGGACCAUCUCUCCUGUGGGUUAGAGCCAGAGAUCUAAGUGUGAACUCCUGGCUGUUGUAAGAGUGAGACAGGUAUCAAUCUGUAUAUAUACAUGGAUUAUUUCCUGGCUUUGUUCACUGAGUAGAACAAAAAGCAGGGAUAUCCUACUAACAACAGGCACACCACUGCCCAGAUUUUGAUUUCUAAAUAUUCUUUUUUUUUUUUUUUUUUUGGAGACACAGUCUCACUCUGUCACCCAAGCUGGAGUACAUUGGUAUGAUUACAGCUCACUGCAGCCUUGUCCUCCUGGACUCAAGCAAUUGUCCCACCUCAGCCUUCACAGUAGCCAGGACUAAAGAUUUGUUUCAUGCCCAUUUCAGCUGAAAUAUACAAAUCACUGAUGGCAGAUAGAGACGUGAGCUGCUCUUCUAUAGCAGGUCCAGCCUUGCUCCAAAGCCAGGGGUCACACAGAGGAUGCUUCUUCUCAGUCCUAGCUCAGAUCCUGUCUUUUGAGAUGAAGAUUGCCAUGAUCACAAACUUCCCAGCAAAAUAAGUUGCUAAUGUAUUCAACACACCUUUGAUAAGCCAGACCCUGGGCCACACACUGGAGAUUCAACAGUGAGUAAGACAUAGCUCCUGCUUCGGAGACUAUCCAGUCCAGUUGUGGAGCGUGCUGCAGUGCAUGCUCCCCUGUGGGAGAACAGAGGAGGAGCCCAAUCUGCCAGCGUACCUCUCCUAGGUGGGGGUCAGGGAAGUCUUCAAGAAGAUGGCAUCUGAGCUGAAUCUCGAUUUGUUGCCUUCUUAGGAAACAAAGGAAUAAAACUAGGAAGUUAGGAAACAUAGUUACAAGGACUUUCUCAAAUUAGCACAUCAAGCUGGCCAUGCCAGGACUGAAACAGAGGUUCCCAGAUAUGGUUGCCCAGCCUCCUUCCACUUCAUCCCUAGCUUUCUUACAUUGCAGACAUUACCUGUUAGUUAAAACAUGGUUCUGGGUCUAUUAGUUAUGCUGUUUGAUAAUUUGCAUAUAUAUAUUUUAAGACAGAGUCUCAUUCUGUUGCCAGGCUGGAAUGCAGUGGUGCUAUGUCGGCUCACUGCAACCUCUGGCUCCCUAGUUCAAGUGAUACUCCUGCCUCAGCCUCCUGAGUAGCUGGGAGUACAGACAUGUGCCACCACACCCAGCUAAUUUUUGUAUUUUUUUUUUUUAGUAGAGAUGGGGUUUCACUAUGUUUAUCAGGAUGGUAUUGAUCUCUUGACCUUGUGAUUCACCCUCCCAAAGUGCUGGGAUUACAGAUGUGAGCCACCACAUCCAGCCAAUUUGUAUAUAAUUUAACAGAAUCUUCUGGAGUCAAUGCUAAAGCUCAGAGGAACUACCCUAGUGGGGAUUUCCAGCAUGUGGGAGAGAAAAUUUGAGGGUAAUUCUCACAUUUGAUGUGGCUGUCAUCUACUUGCUCAGUGCCCUCAGCUCACCAUCAUUAGGGCACUGGGGCUCUCCAGAUAGCCUAAGACUCUAUCUGUUCACACAGACAUGAGAAGACUCCCACUCCUCACCCCAGAGCAUAAGCUCUCUCCACAGGGAUGGAGUUGGCUGGCGGCUGACUCUCCAUCUCUAAGAAAAAAUUCCUGCUUUUUUUUCUUGCUUUCCUCUCUUACCAUUCCUUUUCUUGUAGAACCUUCUGCCAAAAUCUGAGGACAGACUGUCACCUCAAUGGGCCUCUCUGGCGGGGCUCCGUGACUGACACCUGUAAUCCCAGCACUUUGGAAGGCCAAGGCAGGUGGAUCAUUUGAAGUCAGGAGUUUGAGACCAGCCUGACCAACAUGGUGAAACCCUGUUUCUACUAAAAUACAAAAAUUACCUGGGAAUGGUGGCAUGCGCCUGUAAUCCCAGCUACUAGGGAGGCUGAGGCAGGAGAAUCACUUGAACCCAGGAGGUAGAGGUUACCAUCAGCCAAAAUUGCGCCAAUCUACCCAAGCCUAGAUGACAGAGUGAGACUGCAUCUCACAAAAAGAGAGAGAGAAAAAAGGGCCUCUCCACCAGCUCAUCAAGACCUCAUCUCUCAUCAAAGACAUCUGUAUCAGUUAAGGAAAUGUUGGCUCCUUUAACAAUCAAAGGAAAAAGAAUAAUGGCUCCCAGCACUUUAGAGAGCUGAGAUGGGAGAAUUGCUUAAAGCCAGAGUUCAAGACCAGACUGGGCAAUAUAGCGAGACCCCCCAUCUCGGUCACAAUUUUUUUAAAAAGAAGUUUCUUUCUUAUUCAAGAUAAAUCCAAAAUGGCUGAAUCUGAUUGGCAAAUGGGUUUUCUCUCAAAGUAAUGAUUUAAGUAUCCAGGCUCCUUCUAUCGUGGUUCUGCUAUUCUCACAUGUGGCUUUUGUGAUCAUCAUGCUUGCCUGCAUUAGGUUAACAGGAGAAAGAGCACUGAAAAUCAUGCACAGGAGGAUAUAGUUGCCCAGCCUGGAUAUGGUACACAUCACUUCUACUCUCGUUUCAAUUCUAGAACUUAGUCACCUGGCCAUAUCUAACUGUUUAUAUUCUAGUUGUGUGGCCACGAAAAUGAGAAAACAGUUAUGUUGAACAACUAGCUGGUCUCAGCCAAAACAUGUAGCCUUAGAGUAUAAGGGGAAUUCAGUAAAAAAUAGCUAUUAUUCUCUGAGUACAACUGUGGACAUAGGGGCUGGCAUGAUCUAUUUUCUCCCUAAAAAGAAUGGAUGGGUUCACACAACAAAUAAAUCAUGAAGUUGAGUAUGUCUGAUGCCAAAGUCACUAGGCUAUGUCAUGUCAACAAGACAAUUUAGAAAAAAAAAAUCCUACUCUCAAGGAACUUAGAGUUGAGAAACAAUUAGAUACUCAUUGAAUUGGAGUUUACUACUUAUUUCUAACUUGAAAAAAAAAUCAUUUUCACUUUUUCACCAGUGUUAAGACUCUUUGCACAGUCUGGGUAUUCGUUCUUAUCCAAACUCCUA